GAAAGUCUCCACCACCAUGGGCUUGGUGGGAAUCAUCUUGAUCAUACCAGCAUCACCGUUCUUCAGGAACUUGGGCUCCUUCUCCAGUUCCUUACCAGACCGCCUGUCAAUCUUGGUGAGGAUCUCAGCAAACUUCACAGCAAUGUGACAGGUGUGGCAGUCAAGAACAGGGGCGUAACCGUUUCCGAUCUGCCCAGGAUGGUUCAUGAUGAUAACUUGGGCGGUGAAGUUGGCAGCCUCCUUGGCAGGAUCGUCCUUGGAGUUCGAGGCAACAAAACCACGCUUCAGAUCCUUAACAGCUACAUUCUUAACAUUGAACCCGACAUUGUCACCGGGAAGUGCCUCUAGGAGAGCCUCGUGGUGCAUCUCAACAGACUU